AACGAACGCUGGCGGCAUGCCUAACACAUGCAAGUCGAACGAGACCUUCGGGUCUAGUGGCGCACGGGUGCGUAACGCGUGGGAACCUGCCCUUAGGUUCGGAAUAACUCCCCGAAAGGGGUGCUAAUACCGGAUAAUGUCUUCGGACCAAAGAUUUAUCGCCUUUGGAUGGGCCCGCGUUGGAUUAGCUAGUCGGUAGGGUAAAAGCCUACCAAGGCGACGAUCCAUAGCUGGUCUGAGAGGAUGAUCAGCCACACUGGGACUGAGACACGGCCCAGACUCUUACGGGAGGCAGCAGUGGGGAAUAUUGGACAAUGGGCGAAAGCCUGAUCCAGCAAUGCCGCGUGAGUGAUGAAGGCCUUAGGGUUGUAAAGCUCUUUUACCCGGGAUGAUAAUGACAGUACCGGGAGAAUAAGCUCCGGCUAACUCCGUG
rnacentral:rRNA from 1 species